rnacentral:rRNA from 1 species
UACAGAGACUGCAAGCGUUAUUCGGAUUCACUGGGCGUAAAGGGUGCGCAGGCGGCCAGGUGUGUCAGGUGUGAAAUCCCGGGGCUUAACUCGGAAAGGUCAACUGAUACUGUGCGACUAGAGUGCGGAAGGGGCAACUGGAAUUCUCGGUGUAGCGGUGAAAUGCGUAGAUAUCGAGAGGAACACCUGCGGCGAAGGCGGGUUGACUGGGCCGACACUGCGCUGAUGCGCGAAAGCCAGGGGAGCGAACGGG